CAUUUGUAGUCUGAGUAGGUCUGUUUGGACAGAAAACAAUCAUUUUUGCACGGAAGGAGAAUGCAACCAUCGGGAGGAACUCCCGUAAAUAAGUACCUUCAUACAAGCAUCCGGACGCUUCUUGCAUGGUGCCUGUGGCGAGGCAUUUCAUGGGUGUGCGUUAUGUAUCUAAUUACAUACUAGCCAAAAGACAUAAGAUAUAGGAGGUGCAGCUCCAAAAAUGAACAGUG
rnacentral:sRNA from 12 species